GUUGUAUGGUUAAGUGACUAAGCGUACACGGUGGAUGCCUUGGCAGUCAGAGGCGAUGAAGGACGUAUUAACUUGCGAUAAGCCCAGUUUAGAUAGUAAAAAUCACUUGAGACUGGGAUUUCCGAAUGGGGAAACCCAACUGCAUAAGCAGUUAUCGUUACGUGAAUACAUAGCGUAACGAGGCGAACCGGGGGAACUGAAACAUCUAAGUACCCCGAGGAAGAGAAAUCAACCGAGAUUCCGACAGUAGCGGCGAGCGAAAUCGGAUUAGCCCUUAAGCUAGUCUUGCGUUAGGUGAACAAGCUGGAAAGCUUGGCGAUACAGGGUGAUAGCCCCGUAACCGACAACGCAUUACAAGUGAAAACGAGUAGGACGGGACACGUGAUAUCCUGUUUGAACAUGGGGGGACCAUCCUCCAAGGCUAAAUACUCCUGACUGACCGAUAGUGAACCAGUACCGUGAGGGAAAGGCGAAAAGAACCCC
rnacentral:rRNA from 1 species